UUGUUUUAAAUCAUUGUGGAUCUACACUUUGAAAAUAAAACCCACACAAAAUGGUGUGACAUGCAUUGAUUUCAUCCAA
rnacentral:pre_miRNA from 1 species